AUGAGUGAUUUUGCAAAGAGAUUCUUAAGAAAACAAAGCCGCUCAGGUGGCCCAAAAGGCCCAAAGGUCCAUCAAUAUAUCCUCAUUCGGCCUACAGCUGCGAGCGCUUCUGGGCAAAGCGCUUUGACGGACAUGGGCGGCGCCGCCGUAGCCUUGCUCGUCGCCACUAGACGACGCUCCACCCCGCUCGUUACCUCCUCACUCCCUCGUGCUGCGCGCGGUCUCCACGAGGCUGCAGCGGCGGCUGGGGAGGACAAGGCGAGGACUCGCCGGCGGAGGAGUAGUAGCAGCAGCUUUCUUGGACCGGACAUCACCGACACCUGGGAUCCACCCCCGCGCCCCGCGGCGAGGCCGCUUCCCCCACGAGCUGCCGGAGUUGAUUACGAGUCCACGGCAACCACUAUCGAUGGCAAGUCCAUUGCAGAGGACAUAAGGUUACAGAUUGCUGAGGAGGUUCUCCAAAUGAAAAAUGCAGUCGGACAUGUUCCUGGCCUUGCUGUCGUACUGGUAGGCGAUAGAAAGGACUCUCAGUCCUACGUGAGAUUCAAAGUAAAGGGUUGUGAGGAAGUCGGAAUAAAAUCUUUGUUGGCGGAGUUGCCUAGGAACUGCACAGAAGAUGAGGUGGUGGAUUCGGUGUCAAGAUUCAAUGAAGACCCAUCCGUUCAUGGCGUCCUUGUUCAGCUACCACUACCACAACAUAUGGAUGAAGAAAAGAUUCUCAACGCCAUUAGCCUAGACAAGGAUGUUGAUGGUUUCCACCCCUUAAACGUUGGUAAUCUUGCCCUUAGAAGCCGGAAACCUUUGUUUGUUUCCUGUGCUGCAAAGGCCUGCCUUGAGUUAUUGCUCCAAUCUGGUAUUGAUCUCAUGGGAAAGCAUGUCACUAUUAUCGGGAGAAGCAAGGUUGUUGGAUUACCCACUUCCUUACUUUUGCAGAGACAUCACGCUACUGUAAGUGUUAUCCAUGCCUUCACAGAAAAUCCAGAGGAGAUUACUCGUGAAUCUGACAUUGUGAUCUCAGCUGCUGGAGUGGCCAACCUUGUAAGAGGAAGUUGGUUAAAGCAAGGUGCAGUUGUGAUUGAUGUUGGGACAAAUCCAGUAGAGGAUCCAGCCAGUGAUUAUGGCUAUCGAUUAACCGGAGAUGUCUGCUUCGAAGAAGCAGUGAAUGUGGCUUCUGCUAUAACUCCAGUUCCAGGCGGAGUGGGACCAGUCACCAUCGCAAUGCUUCUUGGCAACACGCUUGACUCAGCCAAACGAGUUUAUGGCUUGAGUGACUGA
rnacentral:rRNA from 1 species